AGUCGAGGGGCAGCAGCUUUAUAGCAAUAUAGAGGCUGGCGACCGGCAAACGGGUGCGGAACACGUACACAACCUUCCUUGAAUAGGGGGAUAGCCCAUAGAAAUGUGGAUUAAUACCCCGUAAUAUAGCGGUGUGGCAUCACACUGUUAUUAUAGUUUCGGCGAUUCGAGAUGGGUGUGCGGCUGAUUAGGUAGUUGGCGGGGUAAAGGCCCACCAAGCCUUCGAUCAGUAGCUGAUGUGAGAGCAUGAUCAGCCACACGGGCACUGAGACACGGGCCCGACUCCUACGGGAGGCAGCAGUAAGGAAUAUUGGUCAAUGGACGCAAGUCUGAACCAGCCAUGCCGCGUGAAGGAUGAAGGUCCUCUGGAUUGUAAACUUCUUUUAUAGGGGGCGAAAAAAGGUCUUUCUAGAUCACUUGACAGUACCCUAUGAAUAAGCACCGGCUAACUCCGUGCCAGCAGCCGCGGUAAUACGGAGGGUGCAAGCGUUAUCCGGAUUCACUGGGUUUAAAGGGUGCGUAGGCGGGUAGGUAAGUCAGAGGUGAAAUCCUGGAGCUUAACUCCAGAACUGCCUUUGAUACUAUCUAUCUUGAAUAUGGUGGAGGUAAGCGGAAUAUGUCAUGUAGC
rnacentral:rRNA from 1 species